CAACGUGAUUCUACCCUAACCAUGUUUCGUUGGCUUCUUCCCUUAUUUCCCGGCUUCCCGGCUUCCUCCUGAAUGCAGAGAACCCUGCCCGCUGCCUGGGAGACCACAGUUCCUGUGCUAUGCCAAGAAAUUACGCAAGCACCUCCGCUUAAAUCAACAAGGAAAAACACAAGGACAAAGAUAAGUCAUCCAAGAGCAAGAGGAAGCGGGGCCCGCCUUUUUCUUAGCAUCUCCGAGUGAGAAAGGACUUUCUAUGUACAAGAUAAAACUCAGAUUAAGAAACGCAUUCAAAUCCUGGAUAUAAAGGAGAAUGGGCUUCCUAACACACAGGGUGAGCACUGUAUGCUAUGCAGCAUCUGGAGAUAAAACUGCUGCAGGAGAAAUGUGAGUCUCUGGCCUGUGAAAGCGGAAAGCAACCGUCCAUUCGGCUCUUUUUUAAACGAAAACUGGAAAAAGGAUGUGGACUAAGGCUGCCAAUCCCAUGAUAAAGCCGAGGAUAUCCACACACUAGCUCUGGUGCCAGGGAGAGCUUAACUCUCACACACAGCUGUGGGGCAUGAACCAGGACAGUCCCCAUUGCAGGGUAUGGGAUGCCAUUUAUGUUGGAAAUGCUCUGCUCAUGUCUUGUUCAGACAGACCUUCUCUCAGAAGGGUUUUUGCAGAGCCUCGCUGUUUAUAACAGUUCCGGGUUAGCACCAACCCACACACCCACUGAUGGGCUGACUGGCCAACCAGGAGACCACCAGGACGCAUGGCCCAAUGCUGACCCUGAAAGAAGACCUCUCCGAGUUCCCCGAUUGAAAAAGUUAACUGUACAUUGAAGAAUACCUGCCACAGCCAGGCGUGCAAAUCACAAGCAGCUGUCUGGACCCUCACAUGUGUAUGCGCCUGAGUGAGCACUGCCCAGAACCAGGAUGGAACGUACAGGUCCCAGAAUCCCCCUGGCACUGGGCAUCUCUCACACACUGCCUUCCAGAAAUAUUAAAUUCUGCUUUAUAC
rnacentral:lncRNA from 1 species